rnacentral:rRNA from 1 species
GUCUACAGCCACACCACCCUGAACGGGCCCAAUUUCGUCUGAUCUCAGAAACUAAGCAGGGUCAGGCCUGGUUAGUACUUGGAUGGGAGAAUACAUAGGAAGAAGCAAAAUAAAAC